AGGAGUGGAUAUCAUCCCCUGGCAGUCAAAAAGAAGGCUCACCGGCUCAGGCUGGGGAGCAGGAAACUGACUGAAGCCUCGUCCAAUCAGGAGUCUUGCUGAGUAUUGUCCAAUCCAGAGCGCAGCCAGCGAGGAGGGGGCGGGCUUCUGCGCUUCCGGUACAGGCUUUUCCUCCGGAGUCCGCCAUUCCUGCAGUUCAGCUCCAGAUUUUGGUCCGGUACUUAGGAUCUCGGGUUGUUCUGCGGCGCAGGUGCUGAAGGUCCCCAGGGAGCAUGUCUGACUGCUGAGCACCAGAAAAUGGUACUGAAAGAUCUAAAAGAUCUACUGAGAGAACACUGGGCACCUCAAAAACCAUUAAGUGAUGCUGAGUCUGGCCUUGAACUUGUUCUUCAGUUUCCUGAGUUUCUGGAAUUACAGAGCAUUGGCACUAAAUGUGGUCUCACUGCCUCCUGGUCUUCUCUGAGUUGAUACUGGGACAAAGUUGGGACAGGUGUGAAAACUGGGUCCCAGUGUCCAGACUGAAAGGUCCUGCACUUCAGAGUGUGGUGGCAGCUGGAAGGACCUUUCCCAGUGAUAAAGGCAGCAGUGAUGGGGGCAGUUAGAGCAUUGUCCGAGAAUCUUGUUUUCCACUUCUCUUCUCUUUAGGGGUAGAAUUAAUGAUUCAUAGUGUAUGCAUGAAUAGAUAGCACCACACCAUGUUCCAGGUGGCUUUAUCUUUUACCUUGCCAUGGCAGGCUUGGUAAUUCCUAUCAAUUAUCAUCUCUGUGGCCGUUAGUCACAUAUAUAUUUAUUUAUCAUUUGAAUGUUUUCUCCUUUGUGAAAUCUAUUUUUGAAACUUCUCAUCUGUGCUGUACUCUGUUGGCAUGUCUUUCUUCCCCCCCAAAAAUGAAUAACACUUCAUAUAUUCUGCACUAUAAACACUUUACUAAAAAUGUUAACUAAAACAUCUUUGACUUUCAACUUUGGAGACACACUGACUUAAAAUGACAAAAGUAAUUUUUUUUUUUUUUUGGUCCUGGGGAUUAAACUCAGGGGCUCUUGACCACCGAGCCCCAUUCCCAGCCCUAAUUUGUGUUUUAUGUAGAGAUAGGGUCUCACCGAGUUGCUUAGCCUGUAGCUGUUUCUGAAGGCUGGCCUCCAACUCAUGAUCCUCCUGCCUCAGUCUUGUAAGCUGCUGGGAUUACAGGUCUGUGCUCAGAAAACUAACAGUAUUCAAGAUUUAUCAGUUGUUUAUGUACAAAAGAAAAUAAAUAUUCAAAUUGGAAAUUAAAAACAAUUCUAGUGACAAUUAUGACAAAAGCAAAAUACUUAGGAAUAUUUUUUAGAAUGUUGUGAAAACUUGAACAUUAAAAUAAAGAGUAUAUGGCUUGUUUUUAGAAGAUCUAGUAUCAUUCCUAAGUCCCUUCCUUCUUUUUGAGGGUUUUAAAUUUAUAGAAAGAGAAUAGAAAUUGUGUUUUAUUUCUGUGGUACUAAGGAGUGGUCUUAAGUAUGCUUUACUCGUGAACUAUAUCACCAUCACUUCUUAUUUUAUUUUGAGGUAAGGUCUUGCUAAGUUACUGAGAAGGGACUCUAAAUUGUGAUCCUUCAGACUCAGCCUCCCAAGUAACUGGGAUUAUGUAUGUGUGCCACAAAUGUGGCAGGGAUUUUGUUCUUGACUUUAAAAUUAUUACACAUUGGCUCAGAAUAAAAUUUAGGUAGUUCUUUUGCCAUUUUUAUGGCAGAAGAUGGAGGCCACAGAGAGAGGAUAUGGCUUUCCACAUCUUUGGAACAGGAAUACCAAGUAUUAAUUCACCCUCUUCCCCUUAUUCAACAUUUAAAGUUUCCACAGAUACUACAGAAUCGUUUGAGAAAGAUCAAGGGCUGUGAGGAAGGGGAACCAGUAUUUCAAAGUGUCCGGAAGAGUACUCUAAGAAACAGUGCUGAGCUACCGGGGUAUGAAGAAUAGAGUCCCUGAGAUUUAAUUGUAGAAGCCGCCGAACAUAUAUAAGAAUGUAAACAAUACAGUGAUACAUUUUUAAAAGAUGAUCAUGGGUAGAACUUGGUCAGUUGUACUCACUCUCCCACCCCAUCCACAUACCCACAAACAUCACACCCCUUUCACCUCAACUUACAUCACACCUUGCUUGAAGAGAAAUAUGUGUGUUAGUGGUACUCUACUGUUCACCAUGGGCAGAACUCUUUGCCUAGCCUAAGGUAGAAAUCAGAAUGGAU